rnacentral:rRNA from 1 species
UACGUAGGGGGCCAGCGUUGUUCGGAAUUACUGGGUGUAAAGGGUUCGUAGGCGGUGUGGCAAGUUGGGAGUGAAAUCUCUGGGCUCAACCCAGAGACGGCUUCCAAAACUGCCGUGCUUGAGUGUGAGAGAGGCUCGUGGAAUUGCAGGUGUAGCGGUGAAAUGCGUAGAUACAUGGAGGAACACCGGUGGCGAAAGCGGCUUUCUAGUUUUUACCUGACGCUGAGGCACGAAGGCCAGGGGAGCAAACGGG